GGCCUUGUGAGCACACAGGGAGAAGCCAGCCAUCUGCCAGCCAGGAAAGAGCCCUCACAAAGAACUGUAUCUGUCAGUACCUUGAUCUGGGACUCCCAGCCUCCAGAACCCAAGAUUAAAGCAAACCCGACUCAAAGAUCUUUUAAAAAUCUCCCCAGAAACCAGAUGUUUUUCAUUUUGUCCUGCUGUCUUGGAGACCACGUUCAUAUGUAUCCCUUGUUUCCAUAGUACUCCUACUGGUCCUGGUUUGUCACACAGCAAUGUUUACCCCAGGAUCUCCUGCUCAUAAGGGAAUAGAAAGAGCAGCUCAAUUUCCUUCAUCAGAUGUCUAGCAUGAAAU